rnacentral:rRNA from 1 species
GUGUCAGCAGCCGCGGUAAUACAGAGGUCUCAAGCGUUGUUCGGAUUCAUUGGGCGUAAAGGGUGCGUAGGUGGUGACGCAAGUCUGGUGUGAAAUCUCGGAGCUCAACUCCGAAAUUGCACCGGAUACUGCGUGACUCGAGGACUGUAGAGGAGAUCGGAAUUCACGGUGUAGCAGUGAAAUGCGUAGAUAUCGUGAGGAAGACCAGUUGCGAAGGCGGAUCUCUGGGCAGUUCCUGACACUGAGGCACGAAGGCCAGGGGAGCAAACGGGAUUAGAUACCCCGGUAGUCCUGGCAGUAAACGGUGCACGUUUGGUGUGGGCGGGUUCAGACCCCGUCCGUGCCGGAGCUAACGCGUUAAACGUGCCGCCUGGGAAGUACGGUCGCAAGAUUAAA